GGUUCCCGACGGUGAACCUGCGGAAGGAUCAUUGUCGAAACCUGCUCAAUGCAGAAUGACCCGUGAACAUGUUUCUAAGCUAACUCGGUGUUGGGGUUGUGCGAGAGCAUGCCCCUUCCUCGAGUGUCGGGAGGGAGACUUCCCGACAUCAUAACGAACCCCGGCGUGAAAAGCGCCAAGGAAAACAAAAAAAAUGAGGAGACUGCGCUCGCGUGGCCUCCUUUGCAUUGAAUCUAAAUGACUCUCGGCAACGGAUAUCUCGGCUCUCGCAUCGAUGAAGAACGUAGCGAAAUGCGAUACUUGGUGUGAAUUGCAGAAUCCAGUGAACCAUCGAGUCUUUGAACGCAAGUUGCGCCCGAAGCCUUCGGGCUAAGGGCACGUCUGCCUGGGUGUCACGCAAUGUCGCUCACCCACUCAUAUUGAUUGGAUGAGCGUAUGAUGGUCUCCCGUGAGCUAUCUUUGCUUGUGGUUGGCCUAAACAAGAGUCCUCGGCGCGAAUUGUGCCACGGUCUUAGGUGGUUGAAACCCUGAAGGAUCGUGUGACCAUUUUAGCCAUAGAGAGGAACUUCCAACCCUAGAGCAUGUCGAUCUUGACUUGCUAAUGACGCGACCCCAGGUCAGGCGGGAUCACCCGCUGAGUUUAAGCAUUCA
rnacentral:rRNA from 1 species